GACGAACGCUGGCGGCGUGCCUAAUACAUGCAAGUCGAACGCAGUGGGGACGGGUGAGUAACAAGUGGGUAACCUCCCAUCAGAGGGGAUAAAACUUGGAAACAGGUGCUAAACCGAUAUUGGUGGAUGGACCCGGGGUGCAUUAGGUAGUUGGUGGGGGAACGGCUCACCAAGGCCACGAUGCAUAGCUGACCUGCGAGGGUGAUCGGCCACACUGGGACUGAGACACGGCCCAGACGCCGACGGGAGGCAGCAGUAGGGAAUCUUCGGCAAUGGACGAAAGUCUGACCGAGCAACGCCGCGUGAGUGAAGAAGGUUUUCGGAUCGUAAAACUCUGUUGUUAGAGAAGCGGUAUCUAACCAGAAAGCCACGGCUAACUACGUGCCAGCAGCCGCGGUAAUUC
rnacentral:rRNA from 1 species